AUUUCUGUAGCACAAUGAAUAGUGCAUUGGACUUCUAAACCAAAAGUCGUGGGUUCAAAUCUCACCUGGAAUG